GCGCCAGUAGCUCAGGUGGAUAGAGCAGUGGCCUUCUAAGCCACCGGUCGGGGGUUCGAGUCCCUCCUGGCGUACCA
rnacentral:tRNA from 2 species